rnacentral:rRNA from 1 species
GAUGAACGCUGGCGGCGUGCUUAACACAUGCAAGUCGAACGGAAAGGCCCAAGCUUGCUUGGGUACUCGAGUGGCGAACGGGUGAGUAACACGUGGGUGAUCUGCCCUGCACUUCGGGAUAAGCCUGGGAAACUGGGUCUAAUACCGGAUAGGACGAUGGUUUGGAUGCCAUUGUGGAAAGAUAUUUCGGUGUGGGUUGAGCUCGCGGGGUAUCAGCUUGUUGGUGGGGUAAUGGCCUACCAAGGCGCACACGGGUAGGCGGCCUGAGAGGGUGUACGGCGGCAUUGGGACUGAGAUACGGCCGAGGCACGGACGGGAGGGAGAAGUGGGAAAGAUUGCACAAUGGGCGCAAGCCUGAUGCAGCGAGGCCGCGUGGGGGAUGACGGCGUUCGGGGUGUAGACUCCUUUCGCUAGGGAAGAAGCGAUUUUGUGACGGUACCUGGAGAAGAAGCACCGGCUAACUACGUG